UUCAUCUCCAGUUUAUCGCUACUCGGGGCUUGCGACACAGGUCUGACAUUGCUGUUGACGAUGUUUCACUGAGUCCGGAGUGUUUCGGUAUAGGGGUGCCUACUGAGGAAUUAGAAAAAUACAGAACAACGCCACCUCCUAAAAGAUCAGAAAGCACGGAAGUUUCUAACCUUGCUAAACG